GUAACACUUGUAUGAUUCUCUCCUUUGAAACUUCAAACUCCAGUUUGUGAGCAAAGUCCUGUCUAUCUUCUGAAUAGGAAUCUCCGACCACUGACCAAACUCCAUUUGUAACCACUGCCUAUUUGUACCUUCUCCUCAAUGACUAGUUUUCACUUCGCCCAAGUCCGAUCUCAAAGGCAAGCGGCCGGGGAAGAAGCAAAACGGUACAAAUGAACAAGGCAGCAGUUGGAGGGAGAAAAAGACGACCGCUGUGGCCUGGAAGGGGACGAGGAAUAUACUCUGUCUUAUUUUGGGGAUUGUUUCUGAGAGAUCUGCAACACGGUGGAAAUGUGAGGCGCAUUGAGGAGCGUGUUGACGAUGAUAAGAGUGAAACAGGGAGACAAUAUGCUGCCUGCAGCAGAUUUGAGGCCGGCAGAAAGAGGGAGAUGGAGGAGAUAGAAACAAAUCCGCUUGCCUUCAGCAGCUUUUCCGUCUCCACAGAGCUUUCUGUUCUCUGUUCACCAAGCUGUCUCCUCCCUUACCUGGGUCGUUGAAACGCAGCGUCCCAUCCUGACAGUACAUCCCUGUGAAGGCCGAGCUCUGACAGCGAGCCGGCGCGCCGAUCGACGGCCCAUGAGCCUCGGCGGCUCUCUCGGGCCCAGCCAGGCUGAGGCAGUGCCGCCGCCGCUGCUGGGGCCCUGCGGCUGACUGUGAGGCCACACGGGGAUUAUCCCCUAAUGCCUGUCACAAUGAGAUUUGAUUGGAGUCCUGAACACCCAGAUUAAUAGUUUAACGAUGUAAAAAUACCUCAGAAUGAGCAGCGAGGAGCUAAUAUUUAGUGAAGGUUUGAUAAAUGUUUUUGUUUUCAGAUGUUGCCUCUUUGCAUCAUUAUUAAUUGUUUUGAGAGAACAAGUUAUGCCUUGUUCUUAAAGAUUAGAUCAGAUCUUCAUAGUGAAGAGAUGUUAGCAUUACAGGCUAACAUCAAGGGUAUCCUGGAUUUGACUUCUCUCCACAUGAAGAUUUCAAUUCUCUCAGGGUACUCCAGCUUCAUUAUGCAAACUAAGUACAUAGAAAGAUCAAUGCACUUUGUUAAAAUGUAAAAAAACACAAAUUUUUGAUGCUUUUUGGUAUUAGCAUCACUCACAUUACAUGUAGAUUGGCACAAGAAUGAAAAACAAUGUUUUUAAAAUUUUGUCACACUCUGAACUCAGUUUUGUAUAUCGUCUCCUUUUCUGAGUUUGAUUUGCAGCCUCACUCCUGCUGAUAAGUAUUAUACCGUCAGAAAGUCACAGAGUGUUUAUGCUCUGCAAAAACAUCACAUCUUACCAAAUGGUUUUGGUCUAAUUUCUAGUAGAAACAUUUUAGUUCACUUGAAAUAAGUGAACAAGUAACAUUUUCAGCAAGAUAAAAAAUCUUGUUUUAGUCAAAAAUCUUGAAUAUCAAUUAAAUACAAAAAGACAAGUCCCACUGGCAGAUUAUUACACUCAUAACAAGAUGUUUUUCCCCAUAUUAAAGGUGAAACUUGUAUUUUUCUUAAUCUGUUAAAGAAUUAUUUUACUUUAAACAAGCUCUUAUAUGUUGCUGAAAUGUAUUUGUAUGCUAGCUCUUAACCUUUAACCAAACUCAGCACAUUUUACAAUGUUGAAUAGUUUUAUUUCUGGUUAGUAUGUUUGAUUAUUAUAAAGUGAGAAAAAUUUUGAAAUGUCUAGUCUUUUUUUGCUAAUGUGCACCAAAACAAAGUUUCUCCUUCUGGGACAAUAAAAAACUGAAAAGAAUAAUCACUAGAAAUACAGUGGAGUCAGAAAACAACAUAAAAACUAAAUUAGAUGUUGUGAUUUAUGCAUUUCUGUGACUAUUCUCUGUAUACUGUAGUUAGAAAAUGUCUGACUUAUUAUUCACUUAUGGAAAAAAGCUUAGUUGUACAGUUCUAGUUCUCUUUUUUUGUACACUUUAUAUUUUGCUGGUCAGUAAUUCUUUCAUCUAACUUCUACAUAGAUGGUGCUAAUUAAAAAAAGCCUUAAUGUUGAAAGUAGAUUUUCUGCUCAGUUUUGCUUCAGUAAAUCAGCAGAUAUACACGUAUGCUUUUUUCCCCCAAGGGAUUUAUAAGAAUACUGAAUUUUAGUUGACAUUAUUUAGGCUUCUUUUUCUGUUAUACUAUAAACAAACCAUCCUGUAUUAUUUUUAGCCUCAGUACUUUCUGAUGAAUACUCAGAGGCCGCGUUUCAGUUUUGUAGGCAAACAGAAAUGAGCCUAUCUACCGGCUGUUGUCCUGUUUACACUCCUUACUGGGAGCUUGUCCUUUACUGAGACCGUUGAGCCAUUAACGCCAUGUGUUUGACACCAACAGUGUUUCUUCUAUAAGCUCCCACUUACUAUGUAACGAAAGAGGCUAUGGAGGAAUGAAAUGGCAACAAAUCUUUUGAUAAAAUGGCUAAAAAAUUGUAAAAAAUUACCUGUAUUGUCUGAUAUUAAUAUCAGAUCAGAGGAGUAAAUUAAAAACCCAAGAUUGCAGUUUUCAGAUGAUCAUGUCAAUUAUUAAGGAGAAAAAAACUAGCCUAGCUUAGCUCUUUGUUAAAAUUUAUAUAUUAAAUUGUGUUAAAUCAUGAAUUAAUUUUGAUUAUGCACAUUUCUGGAAAGCUGAGUUGAAUUUAUUCAACCACAUUCAGAAUAACUGACCUAUAGAAUAAACAUUAAGUAUUAUUUUACUGUUGUAAACAAAAAACAAAACAUAGCAAAUAAUGAUUUUACACAAAAUUAUUCUAAAGCAAUCCUAAACUGUUUUUAACAGAUGAUAAACACAGAAAAGCAACAAAGACGUGAUAAAUGAUUCAAUGUUCAGCCUUUAACAGCAGCGUUAAAGUCUGCUAAUCUAACAAACGGUGUAACUUAAUGUAAAGACGUUUUGCAGAAAUUGAUUAUUUUUUGUUUUACAGUUUUUCUCAUGCUUUACUGCAUUUCAUCACAAUUCACAUUCACACAACAGCUGGCGCAUUUCUCAAAAACAAUUAGUACAAACUGCUAAACCAGCAAAAGUGAGUCACUUUCUCAGAAUAGAUUCAAAAGCAGAUAUUUCUAGUGUCAGUAUAAUCAAAAUAAAAAGUCCUGAUUCCAUAUUUAUGAACAAAUGUUUUUGUCAUGUUUUCAUUAUGAUCUUUCAUUUCUGAGUGCUUUCUAUUUAAAAAAAAGUGAGAUAUUGGUGACAAUACUUAAAAAUGCUCUAGACAACACAAUAAACAAUUUGCUCAGUCAUUUGAAAUGUACUGUUAAAACAAAAACAAAACACUAAAAAUAUAUUUUUACUGCAAAUGCUCUUUGCAGUUACUGUGUUUACAUCAUCGUGCAACAAACAUAAGAAAAUAAAACUGUAUAAGUAAAAGCUAAAGGUCACCUGAGAGAGAAAAUGUUCAAUUUGGGAGAUGAAUAAAUGCAUAAACCUGGUAAAUAUCGACAACUAGUUCAACAUUUUUGUUUUGGAACAACUCAAGCAAUGAAAUGAGGACAACUAGUUUACAUGGCUGUUCAGCAUUUAUACGCAUGGUGUGUUAUAAAACAGCUGAGAAUUAUUAUGAGAAUUUUAAUUCGGAUCACAAAAUCAGCAAAUCAAACUCAGUAUGGUUAAAAAGUAAAAAAAAAAAAACUAAAUGAAUGUGUUGGAAUGGCCCUGUCAAAGUCCAGACUCAGGUCUGAUUGAAAUGCUGAGUCAUGACUUUAAACAUGUUGUUGAAACCUAAAAUACCUGAACAGUUGUUAGGAUUUGGGGCCGACUGCUUUCCCACACUGGGUCAGUUGGGUUUGGAUUCCUUUUUUCCCCUUAUGCAGGAAAUAAUCCUGCAAUAACUGCUUUUAAUAUUCACCCAGAUUAACUUGGCAAAAUACAAAAAUAAGUUUGAUGAUAUGAAAUGAAUGAAUGCGACAAAAAAAAAAGCAAAAUCACAAGAAAUCUGCAAUCUUGAGUACUUUUUAACAAGAAAAGGUAAAUUCAGUCCUGUUUUAAAGUGUUUUCUUUCUUUAUAAAGUUAAAUAAAAUCUGUGUUUCGACUUGUUGGGUGAAAGAAAUUCCAGUGAGUCUGAGCCAAAAGGAGCUUAAACCCCACAGCUGCCAAAGAAUGCAUUUGUAAUUUAAACGUCCUGGUUUUGGAGGAUUUGACCAGCAUUCAGUAAACUGUAAACAAAUCCUUCCAGAAAGUGUUGCUGCUGCACUCUAAAACAUUUCAUUUUAGUUAAUAUGACAAAACUCAUUUCUAAACAACAAAUUUUUUCACCGUUCAGAUCAGCGUCUCUUCCUUUUUUAUACAUUUAUCAAAUAAAUUCAGCUGUUUUAACCAUUUCUUACUCAGUGAGACCAAGUGUAAUAAAUAAGAUCUGUUUCUGUGAGAGAGAAUUAAAACUGGAUUUAGCAUUUUGGCUGUUUGAAAAAUCAAUAUUUGUUUGUUUACUGGCCAAAAUAAACUGGAGUUUCUGGG